rnacentral:rRNA from 1 species
AUGACAUUGUGGAGCUUCACCGUAGCAUUAUCAUGUGCAUAUCUUUUUCCUUGUAUAUUUCCUGUAUUUUUAUUCUUGUUCGGACUGUCAAUGUAUGAUCUUGUACAUAUUUUUUUGGUGCAAGAGGAGAUAGUUGUUGGUAUCUUUGAUGUCAUAUGUUCAAAUAUUAAUUUACAAAGGGUGAGAAAAACCAAAUCCAUUCCAUUGCAUUUCUCCAACCAAACAUCAAGAUGUUACCAUUCCAUUCCACACAUUGUCCUCAACCAAACACGCGAACGGAACCAACCCAUUCUAAUGAAAUGGAACCAUGACAUUCCAUUCCACUACAUUCCUCGACCAAACACACCCUAA